rnacentral:rRNA from 1 species
CACGUAGGGUGCGAGCGUUGUCCGGAAUUAUUGGGCGUAAAGAGCUCGUAGGCGGUGUGUCGCGUCGGCCGUGAAAACCUGCAGCUCAACUGUGGGCUUGCGGUCGAUACGGGCAUCACUGGAGUUCGGCAGGGGAGACUGGAAUUCCUGGUGUAGCGGUGAAAUGCGCAGAUAUCAGGAGGAACACCGGUGGCGAAGGCGGAUCUCUGGGCCUUACCUGACGCUGAGGCGCGAAAGCUAGGGGAGCGAACAGG